UACGAAGGGUGCAAGCGUUACUCGGAAUCACUGGGCGUAAAGCGUGCGUAGGCGGUUCGUUAAGUCUGCUGUGAAAGCCCUGGGCUCAACCUGGGAACUGCAGUGGAUACUGGCGGACUAGAGUGUGAUAGAGGAUGGUGGAAUUCCCGGUGUAGCGGUGAAAUGCGUAGAUAUCAGGAGGAAUACCUGUGGUGUAGACGGCUUUCUGGACCAUAGCUGACGCUGAGACACGAAAGCGUGGGUAGCAAACAGG
rnacentral:rRNA from 1 species